AGUGAACGCUGGCGGCGUGCCUAAUACAUGCAAGUCGAACGGAAUUUAAAAGAGCUUGCUCUUUUAAAUUUAGUGGCGCACGGGUGAGUAAUAUAUAGCUAAUCUGCCCCUUGCUGGAGGACAACAGUUAGAAAUGACUGCUAAUACUCCAUACUCCUUUUUACCAUAAGAUAAAUCGGGAAAGAAUUUCGGCAAGGGAUGAGACUAUAUCGUAUCAGCUAGUCGGUGGGGUAACGGCCUACCGAGGCUAUGACGCGUAACUGGUCUGAGAGGAUGAUCAGUCACAUUGGAACUGAGACACGGUCCAAACUCCUACGGGAGGCAGCAGUAGGGAAUAUUGCGCAAUGGGGGAAACCCUGACGCAGCAACGCCGCGUGGAGGAUGACACUUUUCGGAGCGUAAACUCCUUUUGUUAGGGAAGAAUAAG
rnacentral:rRNA from 1 species